rnacentral:lncRNA from 1 species
AAACUAUGAAUUUUCUGAAUCUAUUUCAAGUAACCACUAUGAUAAAAAGGCUUAUUAACAUCAAAUGAAGUAGAAUCUAGGAUGUAUAGCCUACAUACCACCUUUCCCACAGCCAACAAUCUUUCAAUCUGAAGGUCCUACAAUAAACAAUAUGAAGGAUUAAACAAGAAUCUAAUUAAAGUUGUUUCUAAUAAUUUGUUGACUGAUAACAUGUUAUAUUUAAAGGAAGGUAUAUGCAAAGUUUUUGUAAGAAUGA